rnacentral:misc_RNA from 1 species
UUAAGUUCAGCGGGUAUUCCUACCUGAUCCGAGGUCAACACUUUGUAUAUAAAAAAAGACCGUCGCCCGCAGAGUCGUCCCGCGUACACGCUCGUGAAAGCUCCUCGUACCGGUUCCGUCUGGGACGCCGUCAUUAUCUUUGAGGCGGGUGAUCGGGUAUGACCACCGGGAGCCCAACACCAAGCCGGGGCUUGAGGGGU